rnacentral:rRNA from 1 species
UACGUAGGGUGCAAGCGUUGUCCGGAAUUAUUGGGCGUAAAGAGCUCGUAGGCGGUCUGUCGCGUCUGCUGUGAAAACCUAGGGCUUAACUCUGGGCGUGCAGUGGGUACGGGCAGGCUAGAGUGCGGUAGGGGAGACUGGAAUUCCUGGUGUAGCGGUGAAAUGCGCAGAUAUCAGGAGGAACACCGGGUGGCGAAGGCGGGUCUCUGGGCAACAACUGACGCUGAGGAGCGAAAGCGUGGGGAGCGAACAGG